AGUGGGAUAGCUGGGUCAAAUGGUGGUUCCAUUCCAAGUUUUCCAAGGAAUCUCCAUACUGUUUUCCAUAUUGGCUGUACCUUUUUGCAGCCCCACCAGCAGU
rnacentral:pre_miRNA from 1 species